rnacentral:rRNA from 1 species
GUUGACCUGCCGGACCUGACUGCUAUCGGAUUGGUACUAAGCCAUGCGAGUCGUUGUACAAUACAAGGCGGACUGCUCAGUAACACGUAGUUAACUUAACCUAUGGAUGGGCAUAACCUCGGGAAACUGAGAAUAAUACCCAAUGGACCACAGUGCCUGGAAUGGCCUGUGGUUGAAAUGAUUUAUCGCCGUAGGAUAGGACUGCGGCCUAUCAGCUUGUUGGUGAGGUAAUGGCCCACCAAGGCUAUAACAGGUACGGGCUCUGAGAGGAGGGGCCCGGAGAUGGGUACUGAGACACGGACCCAGGCCCUAUGGGGCGCAGCAGGCGAGAAACCUUUGCAAUGUGCGAAAGCACGACAAGGUUAAUCCGAGUGUCUCCUGCUAAAGGAGUCUUUUGUCAGUUGUAGAAUCACUGGUGAAUAAGGGGUGGGCAAGUUCUGGUGUCAGCCGCCGCGGUAAAACCAGCACCUCGAGUGGUCAGGAGGUUUAUUGGGCCUAAAGCAUCCGUAGCCGGUUGCAUAAGUUUCCGGUUAAAUCUAUGCGCUUAACGUUUU